rnacentral:rRNA from 1 species
UACGGAGGGUGCAAACGUUGCUCGGAAUCAUUGGGCGUAAAGCGCACGUAGGCGGCUCGUUAAGUCGGAUGUGAAAGCCCUCGGCUCAACCGAGGAAGUGCAUACGAAACUGGCGAGCUUGAAUAUGGAAGAGGGUCGCGGAAUUCCCGGUGUAGAGGUGAAAUUCGUAGAUAUCGGGAGGAACACCAGUGGCGAAGGCGGCGACCUGGGCCAAUAUUGACGCUGAGGUGCGAAAGCGUGGGGAGCAAACAGGG